ACAAAAGCUGAAGAGCUAAGGUUAGGAAGACGAUAGAGGUAGCCGCGGUGGAGAUGGCUCUGUCCAGGGAGCACCCAAAAGAUCAGAGCCAUCAAGAAAAAUACAUCUGAAUGCCCGUUUCCAAGAAACCAAAAUCCGCAAGUUACACCUCAAUUCCAUCUUCCUGUAAACCUGAACUCGCCUUCAUCAAAAUUCAUCAUCUCCCGGGAUAUGGUUUUGUCCAGCUCAACGCGGUGAAAGAAAACUACAUGAAUGUGCUGAACGACAAGAGAAGACGAAGACCUCCGCCCCGGGCAAGGAAAAACUGUAUAAAAACUGGACUAACUAAAGCGGUGCCGAGUGCAGCCGUGAGAGGCUGAGAGGAGCUGUGACGGUCGGAAGCGCUGAGGGCAGCCAUGAGGGCCAAGGGGAGCUGUGAGUGUGGUACGGUACAAGCACCUGGUUCAUUAAAACUCCUAGUAAGGAAUAAUGAAUUUCGGGCCGGAGGUGAGACGGGUAUAGAUUUUGACCGCAUAGUUUCAAAUCACAGGACACGGUAUGCGUAACUUAUGCUAAAGCUAGCGGCCGGGCUGUUUAACCAGGUUUUUUUAAAGAAUUUUCCCCUAGGCUAGGCGGAAUAAACAAGAAGAGCACCCGUCGCCUCUGCCCUGCUGCGACCACCAGAAGACAAGAUUACGACCCAGCCAGCAACGGGCCUUGCGGAUGCAGAGUACUCCAAGGAAGGACACGUCAGCUGAAUUAGAACUGCAU